CCCGCUCAGAAACUCAAAGGAAUGUACGGGGGCCCCGGCACAAGCGGUGGGAGCAUGUGGGUUUAAUUCGAUGCAACGCGAAGAACCUUAACCAGGCCUUGACAUCCUCGGAACUUUCCAGAAAUGGAUUGGUGCCUUCGGGAGCCGAGAGACAGGUGCUGCAUGGCUGUCGUCAGCUCGUGUCGUGAGAUGUUGGGUUAAGUCCCGCAACGAGCGCAACCCUUGUCACUAGUUGCUACGCGAGGGCACUCUAGUGAGACUGCCGGUGACAAACCGGAGGAAGGUGGGGAUGACGUCAAGUCCUCAUGGCCCUUAUGGGUAGGGCUUCACACGUCAUACAAUGGUCGGUACAGAGGGUUGCCAAGCCGCGAGGUGGAGCCAAUCCCAGAAAGCCGAUCGUAGUCCGGAUUGCAGUCUGCAACUCGACUGCAUGAAGUCGGAAUCGCUAGUAAUCGCGGAUCAGCAUGUCGCGGUGAAUACGUUCCCGGGUCUU
rnacentral:rRNA from 1 species